GGCUCCACAGUGGCGCAGUUGGUAGCACUGUUGCCUUACAGCAAGAAAGUUCUGGGUUCGAUUCCCGGCCGGGGUCU